UACGUAGGGUGCGAGCGUUGUCCGGAAUUACUGGGCGUAAAGAGCUCGUAGGUGGUUUGUCGCGUUGUCCGUGAAAACUCACAGCUCAACUGUGGGCGUGCGGGCGAUACGGGCAGACUGGAGUACUGCAGGGGAGACUGGAAUUCCUGGUGUAGCGGUGGAAUGCGCAGAUAUCAGGAAGAACACCCGUGGCUAAGGCGGUUCUCUGGGACGGUACUGACGCUGAGACGCGAAAGCGUGGGGAGCGAACAGG
rnacentral:rRNA from 1 species